AUACGGAGGGUCCAAGCGUUAUCCGGAAUCAUUGGGUUUAAAGGGUCCGUAGGCGGGAAUCUAAGUCAGUGGUGAAAUCUUGCAGCUCAACUGUAAAAUUGCCAUUGAUACUGGAUUUCUCGAAUUAGUGUGAAGUGGUUAGAAUGUGUAGUGUAGCGGUGAAAUGCAUAGAUAUUACACAGAAUACCAAUUGCGAAGGCAGAUCACUAACACUAUAUUGACGCUAAGGGACGAAAGCGUGGGGAGCGAACAGGAUUAGAAACCCCAGUAGUCC
rnacentral:rRNA from 1 species